rnacentral:rRNA from 1 species
GUCUAUGGCCAUACCACACUGAAUGAGCUCAAUCUUGUCUGAUCUCGGAAGCUACACAGGGUCAAGUCUGGUUAGUACUUGGAUGGGGAUAAUAAUAAGGGAAAACAUACAUC